ensembl:lncRNA
AGAGAGUUCAGGUCCAGGAUCAAACAGGGGACAUCAGGAACAGAAGCAGCUCCAUUGAUCCGACUCCUCUGAUGGCUGAUCAAUCAGUUUGAUCUGUGUGUUUGGUUAAGAGUGACGUUACUGUGGAGAGUGUUCAUCAAUCAGAUGAUGAGGAAGAGUAUCAUGUUUACAGCUGAUCUGCAUGCUGGAAGUAUUUGGAAGAAAAACCUUGCUGACAGUUAACGAAUGUUUAAAAACAAAUAGAAUUAUUUCACUGAUUUAUUGAUUAUUUAUUGGUUCCUCUCCUGAUGUUAUUUGGGGAUGUUUUCUGCAGUCAUGGAAUUUUGUGAAUAAUGUCUGCAACACAGAAAGAGCUGUGAUCAAGCUAUUUAUUACUGUGAAGGAGAGCCAACACACAUCAAAUAUGACAGUUUACAGUCAUGCCAGCUCUGCCCUUGGGACGUCUCAGCUCCUCUUUUAUACCCCCCACACACAACUCUCUGUAUCUUUCAGUUACAACAGGUUUCUGUCCCAUGGGCUGUGGCUGGGCAGAGAGCAACUCCCACUAUCUUUUCCCAGGAAGCUCCUGGAACCGGUCAUCUAGGAAGUUUCGUCCUUCUACGCCCCAACAGUUAGCAGAUAACAAAGUGAAACAUCGUAGCUAAGCAGUGCUUCACGAGGUCAUACUGACACACACACAUCUAAACAUCUCAUCUAAGCAAACAAAGGUUAUACCAAAUCCUACAGUGAGAUUCUAAACACAUAAAUCUAAAUGUGAGGAUAAACUAGAAUUUUCCAUAACACUGCUGUAAAUGGAGCCGUGUUGUGUUUUCUUUAGAACAAAGCUGAGCACAGUAAGGAUCAGAUUUGAAAAAUGAUCACAGGACUGAGACAAACAAUGAGAACAGAUGAAGUUAGUUUGGACUUCCUGGUGCUGACUCUGACUCAGGUGAUGUUUCACAGAGCUGAGUGGGCACUAACAGUUUCUGUGUCCUUGAUGGAUCUUUCUCAUCUUUUCAACAUCUCUGCUGGACAUAAUCAGGAGUCUGAGUCGACACAUCCUCACUGCAGGUGUGAAGAAGGAAACCUCACAGACAACAUGAUGAGUGCAAAGAGUUGAAUUUGAUUUGUAAAUGUAUAAAAUGUUUUGACAAAGCUUAAAAUCCUACUGUUAGUUUUGCACAUUUUAAAGUUUAAUUUCUAAUUUAAAGUUUCAAAUGACAGCAGAAUAUUAAUCCCACAGAGCAGCAAACACAUGUUACUCAAAGCAGUGCACGGUCAGUUGUGUAGACGCUGCUUGUCGUUUCUCCUCUGAGUUUAAUUGUGAAAGUCAUUUGCUACAAAAAGAUUUUAUUUUGAAGGAUCAACAGGAAUUUAUCAGGGUUCCUCUGUCUAAUGUAAGAACACCAAACCUUUAGUGCAGCAGCAGCUGUGUGUAUUUGUUAUCAGGACUUUAACUGGAGAUGAAGAUGUUGCUGCCACUCCUGCUCCUCGUACUCAACGUCUGUUUCUUACUGAUAGAACCACAAACCUGCCAGAGUGUAGUGACGUUUGACAAGAUUAACGACUAUGGCAAAAAGAGAAGAAGAAAAAAACUGUCCAAUGAUGCAGAUGGAAAUUGGUUGUGUUACCAGUUGUGUGUACCACUGACCUGUGUCAAGCAUGAUAUAGGUCAGUGGUAACAGUUUUUUGUCUUGUAGCACUGAGAUGUCUAUUUACUAAUA